CGAGAAAGCGUCAGCAGCUGCCGAGAAGCGGAAUCUAAAGACUGAUGAGAAGGACAAACAGUAGUUAUUACUGGCAUCGAACAGGAGCAAAGUGAGUGCAGCCAUGUGUCAUGCUACGAGUGGCAACAACACAAGGGUUUCUUCCCCUCUCUCUCUGCGUAGCUCCCCUCCAAGUUACAGGAGUGUCUGGCUCUCUCUCCAAGGGCCAUGGUGGUAAAGAAAACCACAAAAUGAUGAUGUUGCUCAACGCCGUUAAAUGCCAUCAAGAUGUUGACAAGAUAAAGCUUCAUUUUCUAUGGAAAAGAGACCAAUUUGCAUUUUGCAUGGAAUUCUUUUUAAAAUUGUUUUUCAUUUAUUUUGUUUGAAAGUCACCUA